rnacentral:tRNA from 1 species
GCAGGCGUAGCUUCAAAGGUAGAGCGCGGCCUUGGUAAGGCGGAGGUUGUGAGUUCGAGUCUCAUCGCCUGCUCCA